rnacentral:lncRNA from 1 species
AAAGGACGUGAUGCGAUGUUAAAGAGAGUGCAACAAGACAAGAUGAAGCCCUACAACCAACAGAUCCUACAACAUUGACAAGGUGAGUUGUUCAUAUUAGGCCCUGGGUUAUACAACUAUUAAAAGGGAGAAAUCUGAUUGGCUUCUCAGACAUGGAGGGGAAAUAGAGACAAAAACAUCAUGAUGUCAUUGUAUCAUUCGAUUACAUCGUGACACAAUAAAACAAUCUGAUUCUACCAUGUCAUUAUGUCCUGUUAUCAUGUGGUUUUGUCGUGUUAUCAUGCAGUCACGGAUUUUCUGGCGGGGUGCGGGGGUGCGCACCCCCGCAGAAAUGAUUUGCACCCCCCCCAGAGGCAUUUGGCACCGCCCCCAAAAGUUUUUGCACCCCCGAAAAUUAUAUAUAUUUUGAUUUGAUAGUUUCAUAUUUGAUUAUUCUUACUACUAAAUUUGUAAAAUUACCAAUAUCAUGGUCUCAGAUCUCGCCAUGCAGGCCUAGAAAACAAAUUUUGUUAAACUUUUUCCUUGAGCCUUUCCGGGCGUUGCCACCAGGCCCCGGCCAAAGCAAGCAGCACUCCCCAGAUAUUUAUCCACCCCCGAACAAAAAUAUGAAAAUCCGUCUCUGUAAUAUCAUGUCAUGAUGUCGUAUCUUCUUCACAUUUUAAAAUAUGUCAUCUCUUAUGCAAUUUUAUUAUAUGGCAAGCAUCACUUCCGGUGAAAUGGCGCACUGUGAUUGGCCGAGAAGCACUUUCAGCGGUCCAUUAUUUUCCCGUAAUGGCCGACGGUCCAUUGCGUAAAAACAAACGCAUACAUUUUGAAACAACACAGCAAAACUAAUUGAAAAUUUGAAAAUUAUAAUUUAAUUUACGAUAUGUGCGAAUGGUUUUAGUGGAAAAGAAGGAAUACAUUAGUAUUUUUUGUUUUCUUCUACCAAAUGUGUACCACGCUAUUAAUAUGAAUUUCAAAUCAUGCAUUUCCCGUUUGUUUCAAGUAUAAAUGCCAUAUAAUAAACUUUUUAUUAACCUCGCUUGCUCGGUAGGUACAGAGGAAUAUCGGACCUCGGUCUUUUAGCAUAAACCUCGCCCUAUGGCUAUGGGUUCGGUCUGUACAAAAAAAAACCCCGGAGGUCCGAUAUAUCUCUGUAAAUACCUCGCGUAAUUCGGUAAAUAAGACGUUUAUGUCGUGUCAUCUUGUCAUCAUAAUUCAUGUCGUAACAGUAACCUGGCCGGUACUUGGCCGCGAGAUGUGGUACAAGGGCGGAUUUUCAUAUUUUUUUUAAAGGAGGGGUGGAAUAAUUUCUAGUGGGGUGCAAGCGGCACCACCAAGCGAGCUUCGGCAGGGGUUAAGCGUUACGGUUAAAGACUUUCACACAAAAUAGCAGGGGUGAGAAACACUUUCAGCGGUUGAAACGCAUGCAUUUUAAAACAAAACAGCAAAACUAAUUAAAAAUUUGAAAAUUAUAAUCUAAUUUGUUAUUAAUAAGAUAUCUGCGAAUGGUUUUUAGUGGAAAAGAAGGAGUACAUUGGUAUUUUUUUAUUUUCUUCGACCAAAUGUUUACCACGCUACUGAUAUGCAUUUCAAAUCAUGCAUUUCUUGUUUAUAUAUAUGCGUUUUUUUUGUACAGAGGAAUAUUGGACCUCGUUCUUUUUGUACAAACCUCGCCCUACGGGCUCAGUCUGUACAAAAAAGACCUCGGUACGAUGUUUCUCUGUACAGACGUCGCGUUCCGUUAAUAAGAAGUUAAUAAUGACACGAUAACACGACAUAAUAACAAAACAUAAUGACUUAAUAACAAGACCUAAUGACAUUGGACCAUUGGUAGCAUCACAUGAAUGGAAUGAUAUAAUGACAUCAUGAUAUUUUUUUCUCUAAUGCCCCUCCAUACUCACAGAACUCCUGCUAUUCAAAAUACGUCAACACAAAUAGUUCGUUUCUUUGUAAUAUUUCUCCGUGAAAAUUGUUACGGGUGCUAAAGCGUCCCAAUUCAAGAGUAUGCGCUUUAGAAACUACUGCAAGUUUUCUUGCACCGGUUCCGUGUAUCCCAGGACCUUCCUCAUUAUCAUAAAAUUUCUAAUGAUAGUUAUUUUUAAUUUCAAAAGUUGAUGUGAUCAAAGAAUCGACGAUGUAACGAUUCGACGAUGCAAGCUGAGAGAGGUCAACAUGAAAAGACCAGAAUGAAUGACACGCGGAUGAUAUGACCCAAGAAAAGAAUGACAUUUUGCAACAAUCUGAAACCACGAAUUGCUAAUAUGAAAGUAGUGAAAAUGUUACCAAUGUAAGUUAAAGGCAAGAUACUUAUUCAGAGAUCAAAGAGGAUUUCAG